UGCAAAGGUUCCCUCAGGCUGGUUGGACAUCAGUCGAAGAGUGUAAAGGCAUAAGGGAGCUUGACUGCGAGACCCACAAGUCGAGCAGAGACGAAAGUCGGCCUUAGU
rnacentral:rRNA from 1 species